rnacentral:rRNA from 1 species
UCGGACGGGGUGAGUAACGCGUGAGGAUCUGCCCUUAGGACGGGGACAACAGUUGGAAACGACUGCUAAUACCCGAUGUGCCGGAAGGUGAAACAUUUAUGGCCUGAGGAUGAGCUCGCGUCUGAUUAGCUAGUUGGAGUGGUAAUGGCACACCAAGGCGACGAUCAGUAGCUGGUCUGAGAGGAUGAUCAGCCACACUGGGACUGAGACACGGCCCAGACUCCUACGGGAGGCAGCAGUGGGGAAUUUUCCGCAAUGGGCGCAAGCCUGACGGAGCAAGACCGCGUGGGGGACGAAGGUUUGUGGAUUGUAAACCCCUUUUGAUUGGGAAGAAGUUCUGACGGUACCAAUCGAAUCAGCAUCGGCUAACUCCGUGCCAGCAGCCGCGGUAAUACGGAGGAUGCAAGCGUUAUCCGGAAUUAUUGGGCGUAAAGCGUCCGUAGGUGGCUAUUCAAGUCAGUUGUUAAAGCGUGGGGCUUAACUCCAUAAAGGCAAAUGAAACUGAUUGGCUAGAGUGCGAUAGGGGCAAGGGGAAUUUCCAGUGUAGCGGUGAAAUGCGUAGAUAUUGGAAAGAACACCGGUGGCGAAAGCGCCUUGCUGGGUCUGCACUGACACUGAGGGACGAAAGCUAGGGGAGCGAAAGGGAUUAGAUACCCCUGUAGUCACGCGUUACUC